UUCCAGCUGAUGACAAUUGUGGGUAGAGCGCGACUACUCACAAGGUCGGUUAAGACUAUCGAGACGAGUCUGAUAUCGCCUGAUACUUCCGUAUACUUAAGCCUAAUAAAGACAUCAGAGCUUAAAGGAAGGAGAGAGGGAGGGAGGGGAAUGUUACAACCCCAAAAUUUGGAAUAGUCUUAUAUAUAAGAUAUAAUAGAGUUAAACCUCUUAUCUCGACUAUAGCAUUUUGGACGGUCGCUAAGCCCGAAAAGAUUAAGAGGGUUAAGCAUACUAUGACUAGAAUAAUUGUAGGAUGGGUGGCCCUACUGCAAAAAGGGGUGUCACAUCAAAUCUCCGAUUCCGUAAUGUCAACUCAAAGCAUAGCUUCACAUAAUCCAUUUGUAAGGACUGAGAUUUGGCAGUAUAGCUAAACUCUCUGUUGACUAUAUUUUGUGUGUAAUUUAAUUACAAAAGCAUUCGUCAAGUUUCGAGAGAAAAUAAGUUAGAAUGGAGAUUUUACGCGAUCUUUACUUUUCACUUAAAGUGAAUAGUAACCUGGGUUUUCGGAGAGGCCAAUGAGUAGAGAUGGCUUCUUGCGCGUAUCGGACUUCGUUCAUUGCAAUUCGAUAGCACAUUUUCAAUGCUUCGACUAUUUUGGAACCAUUGGCGCUGACGGAUUUCAAGUUUGACGCACGGAUUUCAAGAAAACUGGAGAUACAUAUAUUUCUGUAUUUGUGUAUGGUUUUGCCAGUUGGAGGGAGGAUGGGUUUUGUCGCAAAUCUGUAACCAAACCAGGCGAAACAAAAUUAUCGAUUUGAUGUCUCAGCCGUGCUGAUCGUACUGGUGUAAUCCGUUUGCAAAUCUGACGGACAGAUUUCCUGAUAUCGCGCGUUGAUUGAGGAGGGGUCAUAAAUGGCGAAAUGAAGAUUUUGCGAAAAGCCCUACAUUUUAUGUACCGUUUUGCGUGAAAUCGGAUAUGGCAGUGUGUUCGCGCGUUUUACUCGCGCUGUGAGGGACUCGGUUCUAAAUAUCGAGUUUCGGUG
rnacentral:lncRNA from 1 species